rnacentral:rRNA from 1 species
UACAGAGGGUGCAAGCGUUACUCGGAAUUACUGGGCGUAAAGCGUGCGUAGACGGUUAUUUAAGUCAGGUGUGAAAGCCCCGGGCUCAACCUGGGAAUUGCAUUUGAGACUGAAUAGCUAGGGUGCGGAAGAGGGAAGCGGAAUUUCCGGUGUAGCGGUGAAAUGCGUAGAUAUCGGAAGGAACACCAGUGGCGAAAGCGGCUUCCUGGUCCAGCACCGACGUUCAGGCACGAAAGCGUGGGGAGCAAACGGG